rnacentral:lncRNA from 1 species
AAAAAAAAAUAUUGAAAAGCAGCUGUAAAAGAAGAGAUUUUGGCAAAUAGAAAAAUAACAAGAACUCUGUAUUGUUCAUUUAAUUUUUUUAUGUCUCUCUGUCAAUCCCUUGUGAAUGUUUAGGCAUGGUAAGCAUGUGCUCGGCAUCUGUUUCUGUCCACACAUCUGGAGAGAGUGGGAUGAUUGUAGUCAAGGUUUUGGGUUUGGCCUGGAGAGAACAAACACAGCAGAAGUAGAAACCAACCUCACCCCAAUCUCUACUUCCCUGUUCUCUAAAUCUUUCACUUCAACUCACGCACUUUAUUUCACUGUCAUACUUGUUCUAUUGUUUGUGUCGUUACUAUGGUAGAGUGCCAGUUCCGUUACUCUAGUUUUUUUUUGGGGGGGGGGACAGGCAACGUUGUGUGUCGUUGGUUGAAUGACCAACCAAUGUAUAUCAGCAUCUUUAGAGGAAGUGGGUUUAGACACCUUUUGUCUAAAUUGGGAUCUUCUCCAUCUUGAUAUAUUCAUGCCGGAAAUACUGGUUUAAUUGUCAAUACCAGACAGUUUUAGAAAUUAGACAGCGAACCACAACCCAGUAAUAUAUUGCAUAUUUAUCUUUGGUAACAUCUUGCAAAAGUACAAAUGUUACUAUUUUGUACGGGAGACAGAAGAUAAUAUUUAGUACAGGAGACAGAAAAUACUAUUUAGUAUGGUAGACAGUGGUAAGGAUAUACUAACAUAUUGACAUUCUUCUAUAAUUGUUUUACAUUUUCUAAAAAAUAAAUACAAUUUUGAUCAACAUUAAUACUCUUAUUUUGCUUUAUAACAACAACAAACAACCUACUUAGUCUACCGUGGGAUAUGAAUUUAACCUUUCAAAUUCCAUUUUGCAAUCUUUUGUUUUUACAAAAAAUUCCUGGGUGGGUGAGUGUGGGUGUCUCCCUCCCUGCAGCCUCCAGUCAGCUGGUACACUUAAAGGGGCAUACGGCUGUGUUUUACCGUGGCACUAAAAUGCAGCAGCAGAGUCAUUUUGCAUCAGAAUGGAAUGGUGGGGGUCAGAGGUCAGGGGCUAUGACUGUGGCAAGGGUAAAAUAGCUGAAUGGGGCUGGGGAAGAAGACAGUGUCUGCAUAGACAGUGUUUUUAUAUAGUGCCCUACUUUUGACCAUGGAAAUAGAGCAUGUUCAAAGGGCUCUGGUCAAAAGUAGUGCACUAUAUAGGGAAUAGGGUGCCGUUUGGGAUGCACACUGUCUGACAUCAACACUCACCAGGCAUGGGAGCCACGGCAACAUAGUCAAAAAUAUUUUGUACAUAAACAAUGUUUAAUUUAAUUUCUUGGUAGCUUACAUAUAUCAUUCUAGCUGCUCUGUAGGACUGUGUAAGAGAGAAAAGAAGAGAACAGAAGCGAAAACACUGCUUGUCAUCACUACAUACCAGAAUGCAGAGAGGGAGAAGAGAGAGACCGUGGGAGAGGAGAGAGAGGGAGAAGAGAGAGCGGAAGAGGAGAGCGACAGAGGGAGAAGAGAGAGAGAAGAGAGAGAGGGAGAAGAGAGAGCGGAAGAGGAGAGCGACAGUGGGAGAAGAGAGAGAGAAGAGAGAGACCGUGGGAGGAGGGAGAAUAGAGAGAGAAGAGAGAGACGGAGCAGAGAGAGCUGAAGAGGAGAGAGACAGUGGGAGAAGAGAGAAAGAAGAGAGAGACCGUGGGAGGAGGGAGAGGAGAGAGAGGAGAGAGAGGGAGAAGAGAGGGAAAAGAGAUAGGAAGAGGAGAGAAACAGUGGGAGAGGAGAGACAGUGGGGAGAGGAGAGAGAGGGAGAAGAGAGAGGGAGAAGAGCGAGACAGUGGGAGAGCGAGUGGGAGAGGAGAGAGGGAGAGGAGAGAGGGAAGGGAGAAGAGAGAGAGGGAAAGGAGAGAGGGAGAGGAGAGAGAGAGAAAGAGGGAGAGGAGAGAGGGAAAGGAGAGAGAGAGAGAGGGAGAGGACAGAUGGGGCGAGUUAAAGGGAGAGGAGGGAGAGGGAGAGAGAAAGGGAGAGGAGAGAGGGAAAGAGUAGGGAAACAGACAGGCAGCCCCUGCAUUUUUGGAUUUGAGGCCCCACAGUUCCCGAGGCUCAUGUUUCCGAAGUUGGGAGGUGUGGCAUUGAACUUCAUAUCGUCUUCUAAAGCACAACUACAAUGCUCACUAAAGUCACAGGCUCUAUUGUGUUAUUGACUGUACGUUUGUUUAUGUGUAACUCUGUGUUGUUGUUUUUGUCGCACUGCUUUGUUUUAUCUUGGCCAGGUCGCAGUUGUAAAUGACAACUUGUUCUCAACCUGGUUAAAUAAAG